AUAUCACUCUCGCCGCUCCCGGGCAAGGGAGGUGAGCGCCUUUCCCAUUUAAGGAUUCAAGAAUCGUCCUUGGUGGCGGCUUUCCCCCACACCGCCUCCCCAAACUCUGCCCGAAACUCGGGGUGGGGAACAAAGAGGGGCCCGGAGGCGGGGACGUCGCAGGGGGCUGCCGGGGGCCCGGGUCUCCCGCAGGGCUGGGCCCGGGGCGGCAGGGCCCAGUCUGCCGCGGCCUGUCACAGCCUGGGCGGCAGAGACCCCCACGGGGCAGCCGGGCCUGGCGGCCCCCAGCUCGGGCCUCCCGCGCGCGCCUGGCUCCCCCCGAAACUUCGCCUGCGGCCCGCGCCGGCCUCCCCGGCGCAGCCGGCCUCCGCCGCCGCGCACACGCACUCUCCGGGCAAGCCAACUCACCCGAACCCUGGGGAACUCAUCCUCCAGCUCUCGGCGCGGAGCGGGGUGGGCGCGGCGAGGCGCGGGGGCGAGGCAGGGGGCCCGGCUCGGCCUCCGCCCGGGGCGUGCAGCGGCCCCAGCCCGGUCGCCCCUCGCGCGGCCGUACAAUCCUCGUCUCGCGCGGACGGACACGCCGGAGUCCGAUCCUUCCUCCGCCCUCCUCCCUCCUCGCUCCUCCUUCGCCCAGCGCCAGCAGGCGGAUUCCAAUCUCGGCAGCCGCCGCCGCCGCCGCCGCCGCCGCCGCCGCGGACACUCGCACGGGAGGGAGGGGUGGGGGGCGGCGCGGGCGCGGGGUACGGGGGGAGGGGCGGGCCUCCGCGAGACUCGGCGCAAUGCUCGCGCACUGGGAGGGCGCCCGCUCCGCCCGGCCGGGGACGCGAAGAGAGCCGAGCGCGCGGCGGAAGUGCCCGAAGGGUCUGUGGGGCUAGGCGCCCUGCUGCCGGGGAGGAGGGCUGGCCGCCGGCAAGGGGGCGCCGGGCUGCCGUAGGGAGGGGGGCUUCUCCUCCGCGCGGCCCUGCCGGCCCCUCCUCACCGAGACGCCGCAUCGCCGCCUUGGCGGGGCCGGCCAGUCUCCGGAAGCCGGGUGGAGAAGACGCCGUGCGCGCGUCGCACAGGACUGAGUGCGGUGGAGCGGCGCAGAUACCGCCGCUGCGUGCUGCGCGCUGA
rnacentral:lncRNA from 1 species